CCUACGGGAGGCAGCAGUGGGGAAUAUUGGACAAUGGGCGAAAGCCUGAUCCAGCCAUGCCGCGUGUGUGAAGAAGGCUUUCGGGUUGUAAAGCACUUUCAGCGAGGAAGAAGGCCUCUGGGUUAAUACCCCAGAGGAAGGACAUCACUCGCAGAAGAAGCACCGGCUAACUCCGUGCCAGCAGCCGCGGUAAU
rnacentral:rRNA from 1 species